AUGAGAUCUGUGAUGUUAUUUAAAACUGCGUUAUCUAUCUGAAAAUCCUUUAUUGGAACUGAAGAUAAUAGUAAUAUACUGAGAUCUUGC
rfam:Lupinus angustifolius cultivar Tanjil chromosome LG07, whole genome shotgun sequence.